UACAGAGACUGCAAGCGUUAUUCGGAUUCACUGGGCGUAAAGGGUGCGCAGGCGGCCGUGUGUGUGAAGUGUGAAAGCCUGGAGCUUAACUCCAGAAUUGCAUUUCAAACUACACGGCUAGAGCAUUGGAGAGGGUAGCGGAAUUCACGGUGUAGCAGUGAAAUGCGUAGAUAUCGUGAGGAACACCAGAGGCGAAGGCGGCUACCUGGACAAUUGCUGACGCUCAGGCACGAAAGCGUGGGGAGCAAAAGGG
rnacentral:rRNA from 1 species